GAGGCCAGGGCUGCAUCUGCUCCUGUGCUGGGGCUGUGCUACGGAACCAGCUGGCUGCUGAGGGAAACGAGUCACAGAGACCGACUGGGAGUGAGCCUUUGUGCCUGGAUCCAGCCACGUAUCCAGACCAGCCCCAACCAGCAGCACAGGAGCGGGACUUUGAGAGAACCAUCAUGUCUGUAGACAAGUCUAGGAGCUCUCCUUCCCUAGGAUUCUCUAAGGAACAGAGAGACAGCACGUGAUGAACCACAGCAUGGGAUGAACCCUUCUUCCAGCACGGAUUUAGGUACUGCCAUGCCACCGGGAAGAAGCACACCCAGCCCUCCUGGGACUUGAGCUUGGGGAACACAACGAUACGCUGUGCCCGCCCCAGGAGAUUAUCUAUCACUCCAUGUGUAAACUGAUGAUAUUGCCAAGAGUGACUUGCACCAGAUGACAACUGAAUAAAGUUUGGAGCUGGG